rnacentral:rRNA from 1 species
UAAGGAAUAUUGCUCAAUGGGAGAAAUCCUGAAGCAGCAACGCCGCGUGGAGGAUGAAGGGUCUAUGACUUGUAAACUCCUGUGAAGAAGGAAAAAAUUCCCAUUUGAUGGGAGAUGAUGGUACUUCUGGAGUAAGCCCCGGCUAACUACGUGCCAGCAGCCGCGGUAAUACGUAGGGGGCAAGCGUUGUCCGGAUUUACUGGGUGUAAAGGGUGCUCAGGCGGAUUUGUAAGUCAGAGGUGAAAUCUUACAGCUUAACUGUGAAACUGCCUUUGAUACUGCAAGCCUAGAGUAUGGAAGAGAGUGAUGGAAUAUCUGGUGUAGCAGUGAAAUGCGUAGAUAUCAGAUAGAACACCAAUGGCGAAGGCAGUCACUUGGUCCAUUACUGACGCUAAAGCACGAAAGCGUGGGUAGCAAACA